rnacentral:Y_RNA from 1 species
GGCUGGCCUGAUGGUGGUGGGUUAACAGAACUUAUUAACAUUAGUGUCAUUAAAGUUGGUAUACAACCCCCCACUGCUAAAUUUGGCUUAAA